UACAGAGGUCUCAAGCGUUGUUCGGAUUCAUUGGGCGUAAAGGGCGCGUUAGGCGGUUUGUACAGUCAGGCGUGAAAUUCCUGGGCUCAACCUGGGGACUGCGCUUGAGACGUAGGGGCUUGAGUGGGGAAGAGGGUCGUGGAAUUCCCAGUGUAGAGGUGAAAUUCGUAGAUAUUGGGAAGAACACCAGGUGGCGAAGGCGGCGACCUGGUCCUUGACUGACGCUGAGGCGCGAAAGCGUGGGGAGCAAACAGG
rnacentral:rRNA from 1 species